rnacentral:rRNA from 1 species
UGGGGAAUCUUGCGCAAUGGGCGAAAGCCUGACGCAGCAACGCCGCGUGAGCGAAGAAGGCCUUCGGGUUGUAAAGCUCUGUCAGGAGGGACGAAGCCACUCGGGUGAAUAGCCCAGAGGGUGACGGUACCUCCAGAGGAAGCCCCGGCUAACUACGUGCCAGCAGCCGCGGUAAUACGUAGGGGGCGAGCGUUGUCCGGAAUCAUUGGGCGUAAAGCGCGUGUAGGCGGCUUGGCAAGUCCGGUGUGAAAGCUCGAGGCUCAACCUCGAGUCUGCACUGGAAACUGCCUUGCUAGAGUCCGGAAGAGGAGACUGGAAUUCCUGGUGUAGCGGUGAAAUGCGCAGAUAUCAGGAAGAACACCGGUGGCGAAGGCGGGUCUCUGGGACGGUACUGACGCUGAGACGCGAAAGCGUGGGGAGCAAACAG